rnacentral:lncRNA from 1 species
CAAUUUAUGUAAACAAUUACAGAUAAACUAAUGAAAAUUGCAGUUCCCUAAAGAAUGAAAAAUGAUAUCAGAUGAGGGAGGGUAGGAGGGGUCCUGAAUCCUGAUCCCGAAAUCACGGGCUUAAAAACACGAAAUUCUGAGUAUACAUAAAUUUAAAUCCCGACACCCCGAAAUUCCAGGAUUCCAAAACCCCGAGCUUAAAACACCCCGAUCCCAGUCCAACAAACCACCACCCCCAAUGAUUACAACUAAAAAAAAGCAGGACAACAUUUUUAAUUCCAGCCCUCCCACCCAUAAAAUCAAAUGGUAGCAUCGUUGUACUUUAUUUCAUUUUAUGUAAGAUCUAGGCAUUGGCAAGUAAAAAACGAAAACAGUUUUGGUCCUUUCUAUUUCCCUCCUUUUUUAACGUCCUGGUUUUC